AUUUAAAUAGUUUAAUUAAAAUAUUGAUUUGUGGGAUCAAAGUUAUAGAAUUUAUUUUAAAUU
rnacentral:tRNA from 1 species